rnacentral:rRNA from 1 species
GGAAAGGGCUUUCGGCGCACCCAGAAACCCUUUGUGAACUUAUACCUACUGUUGCCUCGGCGCAGGCCGGCCUCUUCGCUGAGGCCCCCUGGAGACAGGGAGCAGCCCGCCGGCGGCCAACUAAACUCUUGUUUCUUUAGUGAAUCUCUGAGUAAAAACAUAAAUGAAUCAAAACUUUCAACAACGGAUCUCUUGGUUCUGGCAUCGAUGAAGAACGCAGCGAAAUGCGAUAAGUAAUGUGAAUUGCAGAAUUCAGUGAAUCAUCGAAUCUUUGAACGCACAUUGCGCCCUCUGGUAUUCCGGAGGGCAUGCCUGUUCGAGCGUCAUUUCAACCCUCAAGCCUGGCUUGGUGAUGGGGCACUGCUCUCCUGAGGGAGCAGGGCCUGACAUCUAGUGGAGAGGUCGUUGGACCCCUGAGGUAACAGUAAUAUCAAUUUCAGGAAUGCCCUGGGGGAGACUUGACUUUAGUGCCCCAACUCCUGAAAAGUUGACCUCGGAUCAUGAAUGAAUACCCCUUUAACUUUAGCAUCUCAUUUAGCGGAGGAGUUUUUGUUGGGUUCCAGCGGGCCAUCUUUUACCCUCCAGUAAUUUA